rnacentral:rRNA from 1 species
GCUUACGGCCAUACCACACUGUCUGUGCCUGAUGUCGUCUGAUCUCGGAAGCUAUGCAGGGUCGGACCUGGUUAGUACUUGGGACUGAGACCGCAUGGGAAUACCAGGUGUUGUAAGCU